rnacentral:rRNA from 1 species
GUAAUACGACUCACUAUAAGGCGAUAGUCAUGCAGCGUUAAACGAAUUUCGCCCCUACUCCUCGGGGAGGCAGCAGUGGGGGAAUAUUGGACAAUGGGGACAACCCUGAUCCAGCAAUGCCGCGUGUGUGAAGAAGGCCUGAGGGUUGUAAAGCACUUUCAGUGAGGAGGAGGGUAUAUAGGUUAAGACCUAAUAUGAGUGACGUUACCCACAGAAGAAGCCCCGGCUAACUUCGUGCCCGCCAGCGGGGUAAUUCCGAGGGGGCAAAGGUUUAUUGGAAUUUCUGGGGGUAAAGGGGGAGUUGGUGGUUUAUUAAAUUAUGUGUGAAAAUCCUGGGCUUAACCUGGGCAGGUCCGUUAAUUAUGAGGAACUUGAGUAUGGGAGAGGGUAGUGGAAUUUCCGGUGUAGCGGUGAAAUGGGUAGAGAUUGGAAGGAACUCCAGUGGGGAAGGGCACCCCUUGGCCUAAUACUGACCGUGAGGCUAGAAAGCCUGGGGAGCCAACCAGAUUAGAUUCCCUGGUAGUUCCAGCCGUAAAAGAAGUUAUCUAGCUGUUGGUUAUAUGAAUAUAAUUAGUGGCGCAGCUAACGCGAUAA